rnacentral:rRNA from 1 species
GCUUCGUCUCCCUAGGUGACCUGCGGAGGGUCAUUACUGAGUGAGGGCCCUCCGGGGCCCGACCUCCAACCCUUUUGUGAACCACCUCGUUGCCUCGGGGGCGACCCUGCCGUUCGCGCGGUGGGGGCUCCCGGUGGCCAUCUCAAACCCUGCGUAACUGAGUCGUCGGAGUUUAAACAAAUUAAACAAAACUUUCAACAACGGAUCUCUUGGUUCGGGCAUCGAUGAAGAACGCAGCGAAAUGCGAUAAGUAAUGUGAAUUGCAGAAUUCAGUGAAUCAUCGAAUCUUUGAACGCACAUUGCGCCCCCUGGUAUUCCGGGGGGCAUGCCUGUCCGAGCGUCAUUACACCAAUCGAGCCUGGCUCGGUAUUGGGCGUCGCGGGUCCUCGACCCGCGCGCCUUAAAGUCUCACCGGCUGAGCGACCCGUCUCCAAGCGUUGUGGCAACUAUUCGCGGGAGGGACGGGCGGCGUGGCCGUUAAACACCCCAUCAAAGGUUGACCUCGGAUCAGGUAGGGAUACCCGCUGAACUUAAGCAUAUCAAUAAGCGGAGGAA